UACGUAGGGUGCGAGCGUUGUCCGGAAUUACUGGGCGUAAAGAGCUCGUAGGUGGUUUGUCGCGUUGUUCGUGAAAACUCACAGCUCAACUGUGGGCGUGCGGGCGAUACGGGCAGACUGGAGUACUGCAGGGGAGACUGGAAUUCCUGGUGUAGCGGUGGAAUGCGUAGAUAUCGUAAGGAAGACCAGUGGCGAAGGCGAAUCUCUGGACAGUUACUGACACUGAGGCACGAAGGCCAGGGGAGCAAACGGG
rnacentral:rRNA from 1 species